AAGGAGUGGUGGCUCUCCUUCAGCUCCAUCCAGCCCUCUGACUCUGGACAGUAUUAUUGUACAGCUGAGAAUGACCUGGGGAAGAGGACAUCUGAAUCUGUUUUAAUCGACGUGAAAUAUGCUCCAAAGCCUCCCUCUGUGUCAGUGCGUCCUUCUGGUGAAAUCAAAGACGGCGGAUCAGUGACUCUGACCUGUAGCAGUGAAGCUAACCCAGCAGCUACGUAUGUCUGGUACAAGAUAAGUGGAAGAACACCUCUUAGUGAAGAACGACAGCUUGUCUUCAGAUCCAUCCAGCCCUCUGACUCUGGACAGUAUUACUGUAUAGCUGUUAAUAAAUUAGGGAGGAGGACAUCUGAAUAUAUUUCUAUUGAUGGGAAAUAUGCUCCAAAGUUUGUGUCAGUGAUGGUGAGCCCUUCUAAUGAAUUCAGGGAGGGCGGAUCAGUG